GUCCCCUUCGUCUAGAGGCCUAGGACAUCACCCUUUCACGGUGAGUACAGGGUUCGAAUCCCUAGGGGACGCCA
rnacentral:tRNA from 1 species